rnacentral:ncRNA from 2 species
AUUAAUAAUUUGGGAAUAGGUGCUUAUGCUUAAAAGGGAAGUCCGGUCAAAGCCGGCGCGGUCCCGCCACUGUAUUGGGGAGCACAGCUAAGAAUAUACCACUGGAAAUAAUCCGGGAAGGUUUAGCUAUGUAAUGAACCAGAGUCAGGAGACCUGCCUAUUCUGACACACACCG